rnacentral:rRNA from 1 species
GACGAACGCUGGCGGCGUGCUUAACACAUGCAAGUCGAACGGAAAGGCCCUGCUUUUGUGGGGUGCUCGAGUGGCGAACGGGUGAGUAACACGUGAGUAACCUGCCCUUGACUUUGGGAUAACUUCAGGAAACUGGGACUAAUGCCGGAUAGGAGCUCCUGCUGCAUGGUGGGGGUUGGAAAGUUUCGGCGGUUGGGGAUGGACUCGCGGCUUAUCAGCUUGUUGGUGGGGUAGUGGCUUACCAAGGCUUUGACGGGUAGCCGGCCUGAGAGGGUGACCGGCCACAUUGGGACUGAGAUACGGCCCAGACUCCUACGGGAGGCAGCAGUGGGGAAUAUUGCACAAUGGGCGGAAGCCUGAUGCAGCAACGCCGCGUGCGGGAUGACGGCCUUCGGGUUGUAAACCGCUUUCGCCUGUGACGAAGCGUGAGUGACGGUAAUGGGUAAAGAAGCACCGGCUAACUACGUG